rnacentral:rRNA from 1 species
CCUACGGGCGGCAGCAGUGGGGGAUAUUGCACAAUGGGGGAAACCCUGAUGCAGCGACGCCGCGUGGGUGAAGAAGCGCCUCGGCGCGUAAAGCCCUGUCAGCAGGGAAGAAAAUGACGGUACCUGAAGAAGAAGCCCCGGCUAACUACGUGCCAGCAGCCGCGGUAAUACGUAGGGGGCAAGCGUUAUCCGGAUUUACUGGGUGUAAAGGGGGCGCAGACGGCGAUGCAAGCCAGGAGUGAAAGCCCGGGGCCCAACCCCGGGACUGCCCGUGGAACUGCGUGGCGAGAGUGCAGGAGGGGCAGGCGGAAUUCCUGGUGGAGCGGUUAAAUGCGUAGAUAUCAGGAGGAACACCGGUGGCGAAGGCGGCCUGCUGGACUGCAACUGACGUUGAGGCCCGAAAGCGUGGGGAGCAAACAGGAUUAGAUACCCCAGUAGUC